rnacentral:rRNA from 1 species
UUAUGAGUUAGCGGCGGACGGGUGAGUAACACGUGGGUAACCUGCCCAUAAGACUGGGAUAACUCCGGGAAACCGGGGCUAAUACCGGAUAACAUUUUGAACCGCAUGGUUCGAAAUUGAAAGGCGGCUUCGGCUGUCACUUAUGGAUGGACCCGCGUCGCAUUAGCUAGUUGGUGAGGUAACGGCUCACCAAGGCAACGAUGCGUAGCCGACCUGAGAGGGUGAUCGGCCACACUGGGACUGAGACACGGCCCAGACUCCUACGGGAGGCAGCAGUAGGGAAUCUUCCGCAAUGGACGAAAGUCUGACGGAGCAACGCCGCGUGAGUGAUGAAGGCUUUCGGGUCGUAAAACUCUGUUGUUAGGGAAGAACAAGUGCUAGUUGAAUAAGCUGGCACCUUGACGGUACCUAACCAGAAAGCCACGGCUAACUACGUGCCAGCAGCCGCGGUAAUACGUAGGUGGCAAGCGUUAUCCGGAAUUAUUGGGCGUAAAGCGCGCGCAGGUGGUUUCUUAAGUCUGAUGUGAAAGCCCACGGCUCAACCGUGGAGGGUCAUUGGAAACUGGGAGACUUGAGUGCAGAAGAGGAAAGUGGAAUUCCAUGUGUAGCGGUGAAAUGCGUAGAGAUAUGGAGGAACACCAGUGGCGAAGGCGACUUUCUGGUCUGUAACUGACACUGAGGCGCGAAAGCGUGGGGGAGCAAACAGGAUUAGAUACCCUGGUAGUCCACGCCGUAACGAUGAGUGCUAAGUGUUAGAGGGUUUCCGG